rnacentral:rRNA from 1 species
GACGAACGCUGGCGGCGUGCCUAAUACAUGCAAGUAGAACGCUGAAGCGAGGAGCUUGCUCUUCUUGGAUGAGUCGCGAACGGGUGAGUAACGCGUAGGUAACCUGCCUUGUAGCGGGGGAAAACUAGUGGAAACGAUAGCUAAUACCGCAUAACAAUGGAUGACACAUGUGAUGUAGUUGAAAGGGGCAAUUGCUCCACUACAAGAUGGACUUGCGUUGUAUUAGGUAGUAGGUGAGGUAAUGGCUCAUCUAGGCGAGGUUACAUAGCCGACCUGAGAGGGUGGUCAGCCACACUGGGAGUGAGACACGGCCCAGACUCCUACGGGAGGCAGCAGUAGGGAAUCGUCGGCAAGGGGGGGAAACCUGACCGAGCAACGCCGCAGGAGUGAGGAGGGUUUUCGGAUCGGGAAGCUCUGUUGUAAGUCAAGAACGGGUGUGAGAGUGGAAAGUUCACACUGUGGCGGUAAUUUACCAGAAAGGGACGGCUAACUACGUG